GCCCCUGAUGAUGAUUCAAAAAUACUUUCGUUCUUCCGAGAUAUUCUAUGUGGAAAAAUAUUGGAGACCUGAACUGAAGAGGC